ensembl:snRNA U4 U4 spliceosomal RNA
AGCUUUGCUCAGUGGCAAUAUCAUAGCCAAGGCUUAUCUGAGGUACGAUUAUUGCUAAUUGAAAACUUUUGACAAGGAUCG